GACGAACGCUGGCGGCGUGCCUAACACAUGCAAGUCGAACGGAAAGGCCCUGCUUUUGUGGGGUGCUCGAGUGGCGAACGGGUGAGUAUAACGUGUGUAACCUGCCCUUGACUUUGGGAUAACAUCAGGAAACUCGGGCUAAUACCGGAUAGGAGCUCCUGCUGCAUGGUGGUGGUUGGAAAGUUGCGGCGGUUGGGGAUGGACUCGCGGCUUAUCAGCUUGUUGGUGGGGUAGUGGCUUACCAAGGCUUUGACGGGUAGCCGGCCUGAGAGGGUGACCGGGCACAAUGGGACUGAGGGAGGGCCCAGACGGCAACGGGAGGCAGCAGUGGAGAACAGUGCGCAAUGGGCGGAAGCCUGAUGCAGCAACGUCGCGUGCGGGAUGACGGCUUUCGGGUUGUAAACCGCUUUCGCCUGUGACGAAGCGUGAGUGACGGUAAUGGGUAAAGAAGCACCGGCUAACUACGUG
rnacentral:rRNA from 1 species